ACCUUCAGUUAUGCUCUCUAUAUCUAGGCAAAGAUCAGAGUGCAGUGUUUGAAAAUCCUGACUAUCAUUUUCCAUUUUACUUGGGUUUGCCUUAGUUACAUUUUCUGAAUAGAAAUUGUUCAAGUAAAUGCAGCACAGUAAAUUAUCUUAAAUUACUUCUUACAGUCCAGACUAGUAUUAUAACAUGAAAAUUGUUACUUGGAGUCUCCCACGCCCCUGACUGCUGCAGACCUAUGUCUCCAGGCUGGGAAGAAAUGGAUCACAGUACUUACCCAGCAGAGCCUGCAAGCCAAUCCAGCACGUGGAAAGUGGAGUUCGCAUAAAGGAGGUGAAUCCCUUAGACUGCAGCAGUGAUGAUGGCUCAUCCUUGGCAGAAACAUGCUGAGAAGCAGUUGGGAGCUGCAGCCUGAGGAACUUUAGGGUGUAAGAAGUGCCUUUGAGGUAGAGCUCUCUCACAUGGUGAUGGCUAUACAUCUAAUGCUGAUCCCAACUUGGUGGAAUCUGUCUCCAAGUAAAUAAGACUGGCAGCAAGGCUGGGAGUGCAAUCACCUGUUGGCAUAAUCCCUGGAAUUCUAAAAAGGGAAACUCAGAAAUGCCUACCUGACUGUCCCAGAGAACUGCCAUCCAAAGGAGCAGCCUACAGCAGCACAAGCAUUUCAUCUUCCAGAUUUGUGGAGACGUGGGAUUUGUUGAUGCUGAAGGGAGGAGGAAGUCAAGGGAGAAAAAAAGAAUUCUGGGAGGUAAGCAGCAGACAACAUUUUUCCUAGACAAGUUGAUUCUAGAUGAAGCCUCAAGUUUGUCUUACUCGUGUAAUUACUGUAGCCAUUAUAGCUAAUAGGCUUUAUGAUCUUGGAGAACCAUCUCACUUGUGUAAAUUAAUCGCACAAUAUUUUGCAGUUGUUUUGCUGAUAUAGGUUAAUGGACCUUUAGUAGGAUAUAGGUAUAACUAAUACAAAUGAGAGUUACAGUGUAAUUGUGUAGUGGAUAGCCACAGACCUUAUGAAACUAUAAGAAAACAGAAAUGCUUUCAAUAGAAAUGAAGUGUCUUAUAUGAUUUUAAAUAUUUGCAAUUUGUUAUUAUUUGUAGCCAUAAAAAUGCUUUGCCUAAAACAAGCCAUUUGGAACUCAUCUUUCUGUGUCUGACUGGAAGUUUAGCUGUGGUCUUCUGCUGAGAGAGGAUUUGGUCCUUCAUUUCCCAUCCCUCCCCCCCAAUCCUUUUCACAUCUGCAGAGGGACUUAUAUCAAGAAAAUGAAACUCUCUCCCAUAUAGCAAAUUUAGUCAGGGCCAGCUGGUGGCCACAUCUCGAACUCAGCAUUUGAGAUGCUUCCACUGAGCCUGCAUCUUUUACUGGGGAAGGCAAGAGCAGUUCAGGAAAAGUUUCCAGGCUAUGUUCUAGGAAGAGAAAGGGAUGGCUUCCUACCCCGAGCACAAAGGUGAGAGCAGGGAUAUAGCCCCACCCUGAUCUGUGCCUGCUACUCUUCAGAGGGUGAUCAGGAAAUUGCCCUCAAUCCCAGCUGGCCACUGAGUGGAAUUAUCCGUUGGGGCUGCUAAGUGUAGACUGCCCAAACUCACCUUUUCUAAUCGUCCCACUCCAAUCCUUAUCUAUAUUUUUAAAAUAAGAAAAAGACAAGUAAACAAACAAGGUGUAAUUAUAUCUGGAGGUUAUUCCAAUAGGAUAUUCUCAAAAGAUCUUCUCUUUUUUGUUUUGAAUAAUGGAGAAAGUUAUGACUUAAUUGCUUAUUCCAACAGUAGGCUAUGUUCUGUGCUGAAUGCCCCAUUUUAGCAAUAGCUCCUGUUUAACUCAGUACUACUGGCUGUUAAAAGCUGAUUUAAAAGUUAAAAGGAACAAACUAGUUUAUUGCUUUGGCCUCAAGUAAUCAAAGCAACUGAAAAUUCAUAAUGAAAAAAAGACAUUUGUGUUUGUCCUCCAUACUAAUACAACUGAAUUAAUGGUGUCCAUCCUUUUUAACCCCCACCUGUUUUUUUCUGACCAAUAUAAUUUUCUUUAUAUUUUCCACAGUGUUCUGUUGUACCAAAAAUAUUCUUUCAAGUGGUGUUUGUUAUUCCAACUCUAGGCAAAGUCAUAUAGUUCUGAAGAUUCAUUCUGCAGCAGGACAGCUUUGUUUCAGGCUGCCCUUUGAAAAAUAUUGUAAUGCUUGCAAGUUCUGGGCCCUGAAUGUUUCCAUUUUCCUGCUAAGCGCUGCACACAAUUCCAGAGAUGUUUGGAGUUCUUGGGCACUGGAAUUUCAUCACUCUAAGUUCUGCCUCUCUUGCCACAUUUUAAAGUUGCAAAAUAACUCCUUGUAUGAAACAUAAUAUUCAGUUUGAUCUGUGUUCCUUUUACUCAACUUAAGGAAUCCUAAAUCUGCUUUUUCUUUUUAUCCUAUCAUUCUGUUCAUUAUGUUGCUGUGUAUAUAACUGACUCAUCAGUUCUCCUGAUCUGAACUGUACUCUUUAAUAUGAGCAUUUAUAUCUGCAUGAGAAAUAUUUUGAAAACUGUCUGAAAACACAGAAGCACAGUAGCUCUAGAAAAAUAAUUUUAGGAGAUCCGAAAAAGAUUUCAAGAAGCAAAGCAGCUGCUUUUGCAUUUUAUUUUUCUGAAACCUCUUAGUCUUUGGGCUUGGAAAUUUAUGCUGCAUUUGAGAUAUCUUUUGGGGAGAAACAGCAUGUGUAAUGGUGACAGAAUCAGUGCCAGAUUUAAAAAUAACCCCAGCAGCAGCAGAAUGCUGUCCCUUGCAAUUCAUCUCCCUGCUCCAGCAUUCCUUGUAUAAUUUCAGUUAUCAUCUUUCACAAUUAAAUAGUUAUAAAAUGAAUUUUAAGAGAACUUAAUGUGAUUCUGAGUGCACCAAAAACCAUGUGGUGUAUAUCACACACACUGCUUGCUGAACUAAGGAGAGAAAUUAUCAAGUUAGUUAUGUGGAAGCUUUCCACAGUCUCCUUACGUGACCUUGUGCAAGGCCAUGAAUGUUUGAGGUCAGAAGGAGCAUAAAUAUUCAUUUCUGCAUGACUCAUUCUGAAUACUCCACUAGACAAAUUUUAAAAUAAUUCUAGUUAACCAGCACUGAAAGCAUUUUGGACAUCGAACAUUAAUGUUCUACAUGUUGGUUUGGCAAAAGAGUCUUUUCCAGCGUUUUUCUACUGGAAAACAAAAGCUUUGAUCAGACUGCCCCCUGCAGAAAGCACAGCAGUGCUGUUU